UACAGAGGAGCCAAGCGUUGUCCGGAUUGACUGGGCGUAAAGCGCGCGCAGGCGGCUUGGCGCGCCCGACGUGAAAGCCCCCGGCUUAACCGGGGAGAGUCGUCGGGGACGGCCGGGCUUGAGGGCGGGAGAGGAUGGUGGAAUUCCCGGUGUAGUGGUGAAAUGCGUAGAGAUCGGGAGGAACACCUGUGGCGAAGGCGGCCGCCUGGGCCGACCCUGACGCUGAGGCGCGAAGGCGUGGGGAGCGAACGGG
rnacentral:rRNA from 1 species